rnacentral:RNase_P_RNA from 1 species
UGGGGUAAUCGGAUAGCCGCUCCAUGUGAGAGGAAAGUCCGGGCUUCAUAGGGCAGGAUGCUUCCUAACUGGAAGCCGCGCACCUAAGGUGCGGGAGGAAAGUGCCACAGAAAAUAUACCGCCCAGCACCUUUGGUGACACAUGAGAUCGAUAGAAUGUGUCUGCACACGGAAUGUUGACGUCCUUCAGAGAACCGGAGGCAGUAAUCCGUUGAGAACACUACAAGCGAUCUCAUAAGAAUGGCUGUAUGUCAUGGCUUAAUGCUUUGUCAAACCGCUGCAUUUCUGAUAAAGCAACAAUGUACAGCUUGUUGUAUCACCAAAGGUGCUGGGUAAGGGUGAAAUGGCGAGGUAAGAGCUCACCACUCUGAUGGUGACAUCAGAGGUACGGCAAACCCCAUCCGAAGCAAAACCAAGCAGUUCCAGUAGAGGCGGCCCGCCUUCCCCCGCACCUGUGGCGGCAUAUGAGAUCGAUGCAACGAGUGCUUAGAGGAAACAUAUCCGUCCUUCAAAGAAUUGGAGGAGGAAUUCUCUUGAGUGUUCUACAAGCGAUCUCAGAACAAUGGCUGCAUCUUGCACCUUUGAGUUUUAUCAACUUGUUGAGUUAAUGAUACAGCAACAGCGUGCAGCUUGUUAUGCCACCAAAGGUGCGGGGCUGGAACGGGUAGGUUGCGCAGAACCCGGCAGUGAUGCCGGGACAAGAGAAAUGGCUAUCUAUUACAGAACCCGGCUUAUAGAUUACCCCACAUC